UGCGGCGUCUUACCUGGCAUUAUUGGAGCUCUGUAAGCCAAUUCUGUCUAAUACUGUCAGGUAAUGAUGUCUAG
rfam:Macrostomum lignano uti_cns_0002798, whole genome shotgun sequence.